CCCGCAGUUUGGUCAAACUCAUGUUUGUAGCUUCGAGAACACUGUCCCACCACCUCGUCCUCUGUCGUCCCCUUCUCCUUGGGCCCUCCAUCUUUCCCAACAUCAGGGUCUUUUCCAGGGAGUCUUCUCUUCUCAUGAGGGGGCCAAAGUCUUGGAGCCUCAGCUUCAGAAUCUGUCCUUCCAGUGAGCACUCAGGGCUGAUUUCCUUCAGAAUGGAGAGGUUUGAUCUUCUUGCAGUCCAUGGGACUCUCAAGAGUCUCCUCCAGCACCAGAAUUCAAAAGCACCCAUUCUUCAGAGAUCAGC
rnacentral:lncRNA from 1 species